AGCAUUCUACAAACAUUUCUCCAUCAGCAUCAAAUAUCCCACUAUCGCCUCCUUCGAACAUGUCACCACCACCUCAAUAUCCUACUGAUGACGCUUACCACCAGCCACCUCACUAUCCUACUGAUGACUCUUACCACCAGCCACCUCAAUAUCCUAAUGAUGACUCCUACCACCAGCCACCUCAAUAUCAUAAUGAUGACACUUACCACCAGCCACCUCACUAUCCUACUGAUGACUCUUACCACCAGCCACCUCAAUAUCCUAAUGAUGACUCCUACCACCAGCCACCUCAAUAUCAUAAUGAUGACACUUACCACCAGCCACCUCACUAUCCUACUGAUGACUCUUACCACCAGCCACCUCAAUAUCCUACCGAUGACACUUACCACCAGCCACCUUCAAGCAACAGAACAGAACAUUCUCCUUAUUCUCAUCAGCCGUAUCAUCCUCCACCCUACCAUCAAGAACCAAAGCAGCACUUACCGCAACAGUACCAUCCUCACGACGUUCCCCCAUACUCAUAUCCUAAUUUC
rnacentral:lncRNA from 1 species